GUGUGUUAUAAUUUGUUAUUACCCCCUGGGCCUCUCAUAGUGUCCCAUGCCAGAGCAAACGCGGCCCCGAACCAUUGCCUGGCCUCUGCCAGUAGGCUGCAGGCACUGAAGUGGGUUGCACAGUG
rnacentral:snoRNA from 1 species